AGAGUUUGAUCAUGGCUCAGGAUGAACGCUGGCGGUAUGCUUUACACAUGCAAGUCGUACGAGAGUUUUUAACUCAAGUGGCGGACGGGUGAGGAACACGUAAGAAUUUGCCUCUAGGAGGGGGAUAACAACUGGAAACGGUUGCUAAUACCCCAUAUGCUUUCGAGUGAAAUGGAUUUUUCCGCCUAGAGAGAAGCUUGCGGCUGAUUAGCUUGUUGGUAAGGUAAUGGCUUACCAAGGCGACGAUCAGUAUCUGGUUUGAGAGGAUGAUCAGACACACUGGAACUGAGACACGGUCCAGACUCCUACGGGAGGCAGCAGUGGGGAAUUUUCCGCAAUGGGCGAAAGCCUGACGGAGCAAUACCGCGUGAGGGAUGACGGCCUAUGGGUUGUAAACCUCUUUUUUCAGGGAGGAAUCAAUGACGUGUACCUGAAGAAUAAGCAUCGGCUAACUCCGUGCCAGCAGCCGCGGUAAGACGGGGGAUGCAAGUGUUAUCCGGAAUCACUGGGCGUAAAGCGUCUGUAGGUGGUCCAAUAAGUCAACUGUUAAAUCUUGAGGCUCAACCUCAAAAUCGCAGUCGAAACUAUUAGACUAGAGUAUAGUAGGGGUAAAGGGAAUUUCCAGUGGAGCGGUGAAAUGCGUAGAGAUUGGAAAGAACACCGAUGGCGAAGGC
rnacentral:rRNA from 1 species